rnacentral:rRNA from 1 species
CGCGUAGGCGGGCUGUCAAGUCUGGGGUGAAAUCCCACGGCUCAACCGUGGAACUGCCUUAGAUACUGACGGCCUCGAGGGAGAUAGGGGCGAGCGGAACUGUGAGUGGAGCGGUGAAAUGCGUUGAUAUUCACAGGAACUCCGGUGGCGAAGGCGGCUCGCUGGAUCUUUUUCCGACGCUCGAGGCGCGGAAAAGCUGGGAGGCAAACG